UAGGGAGUAUUGGUCAAUGGGUGCAAGCCUGAACCAGCCAUGCCGCGUGCAGGAUGAAGGCUCUCUGGGUUGUAAACUGCUUUUAUAUGGAAAUAAAAAAUCCUUGCGAGGGUUAUUGAAGGUACCAUAAGAAUAAGCACCGGCUAACUCCGUG
rnacentral:rRNA from 1 species